rnacentral:rRNA from 1 species
UAGGGAAUCUUGCGCAAUGGGCGAAAGCCUGACGCAGCGACGCCGCGUGAGCGAUGAAGGCCUUCGGGUUGUAAAGCUCUUUCAGCGGGGACGAAGCGAAAGUGACGGUACCCGCAGAAGAAGGUCCGGCCAACUACGUGCCAGCAGCCGCGGUAAUACGUAGGGACCGAGCGUUGUCCGGAUUUAUUGGGCGUAAAGAGCUCGUAGGCGGCCGAUCGCGUCGGAUGUGAAAGCUCAAGGCUCAACCUUGAGAGGCCAUUCGAUACGGAUCGGCUAGAGGUAGGUAGGGGAAAGUGGAAUUCCUGGUGUAGCGGUGAAAUGCGCAGAUAUCAGGAGGAACACCGGUGGCGAAGGCGGCUUUCUGGGCCUUACCUGACGCUGAGGAGCGAAAGCUGGGGGAGCGAACAGG